AUCUCCUCAGAAUCAGGGUUGAGCCCAAUACGUCACCACUGGCUGGAAAGGAUGAGAAGAUUUUCCGGUUUGGCAGUCAUAAGUGGUACGGUGCCGGAAAGAGAGCAAGGAAAACACACUGGCUUCUUCAACAAGUCCAGGGUGGUGAUGUCAUUUACACGCCAACUCACCAGACCAUGCUCGACAUGAUUAGGGCUUUGGGGACGUGCCGGUUCAACGUUCCAGCAGGUACAACGCUGCAAUUCCCUGCCCCCUCCCGUACCGGCCCAUGGGUUCGCAUCUUGGCCGGCGGUUGGUGUCCUGGCAAGAACUCCUUCCUGGAUGAAGCAGCGUAUUGCAAUCACCUUGAUGUCUUGAGGCUUCUCAGUAAAACAACUCUCACUUGCCUAGGGGACUUCAAACAACUCCACCCUGUGGGUUUUGACUCCCAUUGCUAUGUAUUUGACAUCAUGCCUCAGACCCAAUUAAAGACCAUCUGGAGGUUCGGGCAGAAUAUCUGUGAUGCCGUUCAACCAGAUUACAGGGACAAACUUAUGUCCAUGGUCAACACGACCCGUGUGACCUACGUGGAAAAACCUGUCAGGUAUGGGCAAGUCCUCACCCCCUACCACAGGGACCGAGAGGACGGCGCCAUUACUAUCGACUCCAGUCAAGGCGCCACAUUUGAUGUGGUUACACUGCAUUUGCCCACUAAAGAUUCACUCAACAGGCAAAGAGCUCUUGUUGCUAUCACCAGGGCCAGACAUGCUAUCUCCGUGUAUGACCCACACAGGCAAUUGCAGAGCAUGUUUGAUCUUCCCGCGAAAGGCACACCCGUCAACCUCGCAGUGCACCGCGACGAACAGCUGAUCGUAUUAGACAGAAACAACAGAGAAAUCACGGUUGCUCAGGCUC
rnacentral:sRNA from 1 species